GGAUGAGCCCGCGGCCUAUCAGCUUGUUGGUGGGGUGAUGGCCUACCAAGGCGACGACGGGUAGCCGGCCUGAGAGGGCGACCGGCCACACUGGGACUGAGACACGGCCCAGACUCCUACGGGAGGCAGCAGUGGGGAAUAUUGCGCAAUGGGCGGAAGCCUGACGCAGCGACGCCGCGUGGGGGAUGACGGCCUUCGGGUUGUAAACCUCUUUCGACCUUGACGAAGCCUUUCGGGGUGACGGUAGGGGUAGAAGAAGCACCGGCCAACUACGUGCCAGCAGCCGCGGUAAUACGUAGGGUGCGAGCGUUGUCCGGAAUUAUUGGGCGUAAAGAGCUCGUAGGCGGUCUGUCGCGUCGGUCGUGAAAACUUGGGGCUUAACCCUGAGCUUGCGGUCGAUACGGGCAUGACUGGAGUUCGGCAGGGGAGACUGGAAUUCCUGGUGUAGCGGUGAAAUGCGCAGAUAUCAGGAGGAACACCGGUGGCGAAGGCGGGUCUCUUGGGCCAAACUUGAC
rnacentral:rRNA from 1 species